GCCGACAUAGUUUCAAUUGGCAGAGCAUCAGCCUUCCAAGCUGAGGGUACGGGUUCGAUUCCCGUUGUCGGCU
rnacentral:tRNA from 2 species